CGGGGGGAGCAAGCGUUGUUCGGAUUUACUGGGCGUAAAGGGCGCGUAGGCGGCCACCGCAAGUCAAUUGUGAAAUCUCCGGGCUUAACUCGGAAAGGUCAACUGAUACUGCGGGGCUAGAGUGCAGAAGGGGCAACUGGAAUUCUCGGUGUAGCGGUGAAAUGAGUAGAUAUCGAGAGGAACACCUGCGGCGAAGGCGGGUUGCUGGGCUGACACUGACGCUGAGGCGCGAAAGCUAGGGGAGCGAACGGGAUUAGAUACCCCGGUAGUCCUAGCCUUAAACGAUGAAUGCUUGGUGUCUGGGGUUAUAAAGUCCCCGGGUGCCGUCGCUAACGCUUUAAGCAUUCCGCCUGGGGAGUACGGUCGCAAGACUG
rnacentral:rRNA from 1 species